UACAGAGGUCUCAAGCGUUGUUCGGAUUUAUUGGGCGUAAAGGGUGCGUAGGCGGCGUGGUAAGUCUGAUGUGAAAUCUCGGAGCUUAACUCCGAAACUGCAUUCGAUACUGCCGUGCUUGAGGACUGGAGAGGAGACUGGAAUUUACGGUGUAGCGGUGAAAUGCGUAGAUAUCGUAAGGAAGACCAGUGGCGAAGGCGGGUCUCUGGACAGUUCCUGACGCUGAGGCACGAAAGCCAGGGGAGCAAACGGG
rnacentral:rRNA from 1 species